rnacentral:rRNA from 1 species
AUUGAACGCUGGCGGCAUGCCUUACACAUGCAAGCCGAGCGGAGUAGCAAUACCCAGCGGCGGACGGGUGAGGAAUACAUAGGAAUCUGCCUUUAGGUGGGGGAGAGCCAGGGGAAACUAUGGGUAAUACCGCAUGAUCUCGUGAGCGCAAAGGGGCGCAAGUCUCGCCUUUAGAGGAGCCGAUGUCUGAUUAGCUAGUUGGCGGUGUAAUGGACCACCAAGGCAAUGAUCAGUAACUGGUCUGAGAGGACGAUCAGUCACACCGGAACUGAGACACGGUCCGGACUCCUACGGGAGGCAGCAGUGGGUAAUAUUGGACAAUGGGCGAAAGCCUGAUCCAGCAAUUCCGCGUGUGUGAAGAAGGCCUUCGGGUUGUAAAGCACUUUAGUUGGGGAAGAAACAGCUUGGCCACACCAAGCCUUGACGGUACCCAAAGAAUAAGCACCGGCUAACUCUGUGCCAGCCGCCGCGGUAAAAC